UCUUAUGGAUGAGCAAAAAAGUAGUCUCUUGAGAUGGAACCUGCUCCUUGUAAAGAUGCUGUGAA
rnacentral:pre_miRNA from 3 species